GUGAGUAGGCCUGYGAGUGGAGAGGCUGCUUUGUGAAACUGUUUAACUUGAGACAUCAUUCACCUGUUCCCCUCUGCAAACAAUCCCAGGAAGCGUGAUGCAACUUCAGUAGACCUGUAGAGACUGUCCAGUUUGGCUGAGCUUAUCCUCUGAAGCAGUACCGGAAAGGAGAGGGGGCAUCGAAAUUUCCCUGGCCAGACCUUCAGCCUUUGUACAUCAUGGUUCAUCUUUUUCUGUCAUCACAUCAAGUGGCAUGACUUCAGCAUGGAGCUGGAAGAUGUUCAUGUCCCCUAGGACAGCUGUAUAGCCUCGGUUUAAGGAACUCUUCUGGGAGGUGGAAGAUAUCAUUUUGGACCUUUUCAGAAUAAGGUGGGUAGAG
rnacentral:lncRNA from 1 species